AGCACUUGUGUGUCUUUUUGUCUCAACUUAUGGACUAAAACUUAAUAGACAGGUGCAAAAAAAAAUCCUUGUUUGCAACCCAGAAUUCAUUGUUCAGUAUGAGUUUUGACACAUAUAAAAAGGAAUAUU
ensembl:snoRNA